rnacentral:rRNA from 1 species
AGUGAACGCUGGCGGUAGGCCUAACACAUGCAAGUCGAACGGCAGCACAGUAAGAGCUUGCUCUUACGGGUGGCGAGUGGCGGACGGGUGAGGAAUACAUCGGAAUCUACUUUUUCGUGGGGGAUAACGUAGGGAAACUUACGCUAAUACCGCAUACGACCUACGGGUGAAAGCAGGGGAUCUUCAGACCUUGCGCGAUUGAAUGAGCCGAUGUCGGAUUAGCUAGUUGGCGGGGUAAAGGCCCACCAAGGCGACGAUCCGUAGCUGGUCUGAGAGGAUGAUCAGCCACACGGGAACUGAGACACGGUCCAGACUCCUACGGGAGGCAGCAGUGGGGAAUAUUGGACAAUGGGCGCAAGCCUGAUCCAGCCAUACCGCGUGGGUGAAGAAGGCCUUCGGGUUGUAAAGCCCUUUUGUUGGGAAAGAAAAGCAGCAGGUUAAUACCCCGCUGUUCUGACGGUACCCAAAGAAUAAGCACCGGCUAACUUCGU